UACGAAGGGGGCUAGCGUUGCUCGGAAUCACUGGGCGUAAAGCGCACGUAGGCGGACUCUUAAGUCGGUGGUGAAAUCCUGGAGCUCAACUCCAGAACUGCCUUCGAUACUGAGAGUCUCGAGUCCGGGAGAGGUGAGUGGAACUGCGAGUGUAGAGGUGAAAUUCGUAGAUAUUAGGAAGAACACCAGUGGCGAAGGCGGCAUCCUGGACCGGUAUUGACGCUGAUGCGCGAAAGCCAGGGGAGCAAACGGG
rnacentral:rRNA from 1 species